CCUACGGGAGGCAGCAGUGGGGAAUAUUGCACAAUGGGGGAAACCCUGAUGCAGCGACGCCGCGUGAGUGAAGAAGUACUUCGUUAUGUAAAGCUCUAUCAGCAGGGAAGAAAAUGACGGUACCUGAGUAAGUAGCCCCGGCUAACUACGUGCCAGCAGCCGCGGGAAUACGUAGGGGGCAAGCGGUAUCCGGAUUUACUGGGUGUAAAGGGAGCAUAGACGGCAGUGCAAGUCUGGAGUGAAAGGCGGGGGCUCAACCCCCGGACUGCUCUGGAAACUGUACGGCUGGAGUGCAGGAGAGGUAAGUGGAAUUCCUAGUGUAGCGGUGAAAUGCGUAGAUAUUAGGAGGAACACCAGUGGCGAAGGCGGCUUACUGGACUGUAACUGACGUUGAGGCUCGAAAGCGUGGGGAGCAAACAGGAUUAGAUACCCGGGUAGUC
rnacentral:rRNA from 1 species